rnacentral:rRNA from 1 species
GGGUUGUGAGGUUAAGCGACUAAGCGUACACGGUGGAUGCCCUGGCAGUCAGAGGCGAUGAAGGACGUGCUAAUCUGCGAAAAGCGUCGGUAAGGUGAUAUGAACCGUUAUAACCGGCGAUGUCCGAAUGGGGAAACCCAGUGCAAUUCGUUGCACUAUCGUUAACUGAAUACAUAGGUUAACGAGGCGAACCGGGGGAACUGAAACAUCUAAGUACCCCGAGGAAAAGAAAUCAACCGAGAUUCCCCCAGUAGCGGCGAGCGAACGGGGAGCAGCCCAGAGUCUGAAUCAGCUUGUGUGUUAGUGGAACGGUCUGGAAAGUCCGACGGUACAGGGUGAUAGUCCCGUACACCAAAAUGCACAGGUUGUGAACUCGAAGAGUAGGGCGGGACACGUGGUAUCCUGUCUGAAUAUGGGGGGACCAUCCUCCAAGGCUAAAUACUCCUGACUGACCGAUAGUGAACCAGUACCGUGAGGGAAAGGCGAAAAGAACCCCGGCGAGGGGAGUGAAAAAGAACCUGAAACCGUGUACGUACAAGCAGUGGGAGCACCUUCGGGUGUGACUGCGUACCUUUUGUAUAAUGGGUCAGCGACUUAUAUUCUGUAGCAAGGUUAACCGUAUAGGGGAGCCGCAGGGAAACCGAGUCUUAACUGGGCGUUAAGUUGCAGGGUAUAGACCCGAAACCCGGUGAUCUAGCCAUGGGCAGGUUGAAGGUUGGGUAACACUAACUGGAGGACCGAACCGACUAAUGUUGAAAAAUUAGCGGAUGACUUGUGGCUGGGGGUGAAAGGCCAAUCAAACCGGGAGAUAGCUGGUUCUCCCCGAAAGCUAUUUAGGUAGCGCCUCGUGAAUUCAUCUUCGGGGGUAGAGCACUGUUUCGGCUAGGGGGUCAUCCCGACUUACCAACCCGAUGCAAACUACGAAUACCGAAGAAUGUUAUCACGGGAGACACACGGCGGGUGCUAACGUCCGUCGUGAAGAGGGAAACAACCCAGACCGCCAGCUAAGGUCCCAAAGUCAUGGUUAAGUGGGAAACGAUGUGGGAAGGCACAGACAGCCAGGAUGUUGGCUUAGAAGCAGCCAUCAUUUAAAGAAAGCGUAAUAGCUCACUGGUCGAGUCGGCCUGCGCGGAAGAUGUAACGGGGCUAAACCAUGCACCGAAGCUGCGGCAGCGACACUAUGUGUUGUUGGGUAGGGGAGCGUUCUGUAAGCCUGCGAAGGUGACCUGUGAGGGUUGCUGGAGGUAUCAGAAGUGCGAAUGCUGACAUAAGUAACGAUAAAGCGGGUGAAAAGCCCGCUCGCCGGAAGACCAAGGGUUCCUGUCCAACGUUAAUCGGGGCAGGGUGAGUCGACCCCUAAGGCGAGGCCGAAAGGCGUAGUCGAUGGGAAACAGGUUAAUAUUCCUGUACUUGGUGUUACUGCGAAGGGGGGACGGAGAAGGCUAUGUUAGCCGGGCGACGGUUGUCCCGGUUUAAGCAUGUAGGCUGGUUAUCCAGGCAAAUCCGGAUAAUCAAGGCUGAGGUGUGAUGACGAGGCACUACGGUGCUGAAGUAACAAAUGCCCUGCUUCCAGGAAAAGCCUCUAAGCAUCAGGUAACAUCAAAUCGUACCCCAAACCGACACAGGUGGUCAGGUAGAGAAUACCAAGGCGCUUGAGAGAACUCGGGUGAAGGAACUAGGCAAAAUGGUGCCGUAACUUCGGGAGAAGGCACGCUGGUGUGUAGGUGAAGUCCCUGCGGAUGGAGCUGAGACCAGUCGAAGAUACCAGCUGGCUGCAACUGUUUAUUAAAAACACAGCACUGUGCAAACACGAAAGUGGACGUAUACGGUGUGACGCCUGCCCGGUGCCGGAAGGUUAAUUGAUGGGGUUAUCCGUAAGGAGAAGCUCUUGAUCGAAGCCCCGGUAAACGGCGGCCGUAACUAUAACGGUCCUAAGGUAGCGAAAUUCCUUGUCGGGUAAGUUCCGACCUGCACGAAUGGCGUAAUGAUGGCCAGGCUGUCUCCACCCGAGACUCAGUGAAAUUGAACUCGCUGUGAAGAUGCAGUGUACCCGCGGCAAGACGGAAAGACCCCGUGAACCUUUACUAUAGCUUGACACUGAACAUUGAGCCUUGAUGUGUAGGAUAGGUGGGAGGCUUUGAAGCGUGGACGCCAGUCUGCGUGGAGCCAACCUUGAAAUACCACCCUUUAAUGUUUGAUGUUCUAACGUUGGCCCCUGACCGGGGUUGCGGACAGUGUCUGGUGGGUAGUUUGACUGGGGCGGUCUCCUCCCAAAGCGUAACGGAGGAGCACGAAGGUUAGCUAAUCCUGGUCGGACAUCAGGAGGUUAGUGCAAUGGCAUAAGCUAGCUUGACUGCGAGCGUGACGGCGCGAGCAGGUGCGAAAGCAGGUCAUAGUGAUCCGGUGGUUCUGAAUGGAAGGGCCAUCGCUCAACGGAUAAAAGGUACUCCGGGGAUAACAGGCUGAUACCGCCCAAGAGUUCAUAUCGACGGCGGUGUUUGGCACCUCGAUGUCGGCUCAUCACAUCCUGGGGCUGAAGUAGGUCCCAAGGGUAUGGCUGUUCGCCAUUUAAAGUGGUACGCGAGCUGGGUUUAGAACGUCGUGAGACAGUUCGGUCCCUAUCUGCCGUGGGCGCUGGAGAAUUGAGGGGGGCUGCUCCUAGUACGAGAGGACCGGAGUGGACGCAUCACUGGUGUUCGGGUUGUCAUGCCAAUGGCACUGCCCGGUAGCUAAAUGCGGAAGAGAUAAGUGCUGAAAGCAUCUAAGCACGAAACUUGCCCCGAGAUGAGUUCUCCCUGAGACUUUAAGUCUCCUGAAGGAACGUU